ensembl:lncRNA
CCAUUAGUCCAGUCUCACAGUCCAGAGACUUUGGCCAAGAUAUUUACUUAUCAGAAGCAGCUGCUUCUUGAAGAACACUUUGGAGCUCAAAACAUCAUACUUUCAGUAUCCCAUUUUUGAUGAAGAAUGUCAUAUCUUGGACAGCCUGAGAGGCUCCAGAUAUGAAUAUGUUGCAUCCCCUUGUGAAACAAAUGGACUGGGAAGGUAAAUUUGGGCGCCUACAUCUAUAACCCUCACAGAUCAGUUUUUUUCUGAAUUCCUCACUGCAGACUACAGGAAAAAAAGGUAAUAAAGCUUAUUUAUAUUGUUUGUUUGAAAUGCA